CCCUGUCUUAUCUGCUGCUGAUAACCUGGAUCAGAUGUGUUUGUCCAAUAAGGAGCUUCAAUGGCAGGUUGGAAAACAUAAAGGAGGCCUGUCCUCAAGGUCUGGAUUUUGACACCCCUACCCUAAGGGCACCCUUACCAGAACAGAAUGGACUUCCCCCUGCAUUAAUAAAGGUUAAUGAGCAACCAGCAGGACAGAGUUUCUGCAGAGCACCAGAAGUUCAGCUCAGAGUUGUGGGUGGGACUGUUGGCACGGAGCAACCCUGCCCUCACUUCCCAUCAACCACUUGUUUACACCAUUGACUGUACAUAAGAGCUGGACUGAGUGACUCGUUUCCCUGAUGUUCCAAAUAGGAAUAACUCACUGGUCCCAAAAAGCUGAAAUCCCAUUGAAGAGAAAUGGCACAAUACACUUUUGUAUCAUCCACACGAUAUGUGACAUCACCCACCACUAAACUGACUGCAUUUGGUUUGACAUUUUCUAUAGGUGACGUCUAACUCACUCUGUCCAAUUCUCUAUAUACAGUCAAUGGCUUACAGUCUCUCCAGCUGGCUUACAGCCCUUCAAACCCCCAACCUAACAUUACUGAAGCUGUUGUCAAUAAGUGGAUGCAUCAGAAUGGAGCAGAGUAGUGAGCUUGUGGCCUUUCGACUGAACCUUCUUCAUCACAACUACAAGAUUUUUUUAAACCAUUUUCAUCUCCUCCUGAUUCACAAAAAUUUGAAUAAACAAUAAUAAAUAUUUUAUAUGUCCUCUUAAAACACCAUUUUAAUCAGAGUUGGUCUUUAAAAUAAAAGAAAGUAACAUAAGCUUGUUCCACUUUAGUAUGUUUUGUUUUUUGAAGUUAGUUCCUGUAACAUAAUAUCCCAGAAACCAUCAACUUCCUUAAAUGAGAGGUUGGCUAUUAGGCUGGGAAUGGUCAGGCUCAUUUGAGGGAAAUUGGGGGGCCCCUCUGCAUUUGCCCUUGGGGCCCCAAAAUCCAUGAAGCGGCCCUGGCCUAAACUAAAAUCCAAUGACAUGUCUACGCAUACAUUAUGCCUGAUGACAUGCACGUUUAGAAGUUUAAAAAGAAUAACAAGAACCAUGACUUUUAUAGUAAACACAUUGUUCCCUCUGGGUGGGAAAAGGAGCAAAGCUGUGACAAACAAUAAAGUUUCUUCAAAGAGACAAAGGGAAGUUAUCUGAAUGUUUAUGCAACUUCAGAAGCUUUUGAAACCACUGAAGUAAAACGGAGUUCCAUAAGGGUUCCUGUCUCCGGUAAGUCUGUCUUCCGCAUUGCUCGGCAUUGGAUUCCCCAGAGACCCCCGGGAGCCCCGCUGAGCCAAGAAAAGCCGUCCGCCUGGCCGCCUU